rnacentral:rRNA from 1 species
AUACGUAGGUGACAAGCGUUAUCCGGAUUUACUGGGCGUAAAGGGCGUGUAGGCGGUCUUGCAAGUCAGAAGUGAAAUUCCUGAGCUCAACUCGGGAGCUGCUUCUGAAACUGCAGGACUUGAGUGCUGGAGGGGAUAGCGGAAUUCCUAGUGGAGCGGUAAAAUGCGUAGAUAUUAGGAGGAACACCAGUGGCGAAGGCGGCUUGCUGGACGACAACUGACGCUGAGGCGCGAAAGCGUGGGGAGCAAACAGGAUUAGAUACCCUGGUAGUCCACGCCCUAAACGAUGAAUACUAGGUGUGGGGGGACUGACCCCCUCCGUGCCGGAGUAAACACAAUAAGUAUUCCACCUGGGGAGUACGACCGCAAGGUUGAAACUCAAAGGAAUUGACGGGG